CGCGAGUGCCAGUUCGUGAGCGUGCGCGUCUUCGCUGCCGCCGGUGCUGCUUCCGCCGUCCUCUGCCGCUGCUACCGCUGUCGCCGCCCCGGAUCCUCAGGCCGAGCGGUAAGACGGCCGGCUGCCCAGCAGCGCCGCGGUACGGAGAGCGGAGCCGCGGGACCGGUGGACAGGCGGGCGGGCCGACAGAUUAACCUAACAUGGCUGACCAGAGGCAGCGCUCACUCUCUACCUCCGGGGAAUCGUUAUAUCAUGUUCUAGGGCUGGACAAGAAUGCAACCUCGGAUGACAUUAAAAAGUCCUAUCGGAAGCUGGCCCUGAAAUAUCACCCUGACAAGAACCCCGAUAACCCAGAGGCUGCAGACAAGUUUAAGGAGAUUAACAACGCCCACGCCAUCCUGACAGAUGCCACGAAAAGAAACAUUUAUGACAAGUACGGUUCACUGGGGCUCUAUGUGGCCGAGCAAUUUGGGGAAGAAAACGUCAACACCUACUUCGUACUCUCCAGCUGGUGGGCCAAGGCACUGUUUGUUGUCUGUGGACUCCUCACGUGCUGCUACUGCUGCUGCUGCUUGUGCUGUUGCUUUAACUGCUGCUGUGGGAAGUGCAAGCCCAAGGCACCUGAGGGUGAGGAGACGGAAUUCUACGUAUCACCUGAAGACCUGGAGGCACAGCUGCAGUCUGAUGAGAGGGGAGGGCACUGACACUGUGCCGAGAGUGUUUGUGGUGGCAUCUGGGACUGUUGAGGUGUGAACGUGGACACUUGAGAGGCUACAGACACACCAAUCGUCAUACAGCCAGCAUCUGCCACAGAGACCACCCAGCUGACGGCUGACUCCCACCCCAGCUACCACACCGACGGGUUCAACUAAAUUCAUGAGAGGCUGUGAUUAGAGGAUGAAUCAGCACCUGGCCACUGCAACCUUAGAAUCAUGAACUGUAGUCACUGAGAUGGGGAGGCAGCCGUCAACCUGACCUGCUAUGGCUGGCCAGGGCCCCUCCCACCUCCUCUAAGCCCACCCAUCUGUCAAACCUUGAUACACGAAGUGCGUAGCAUGCAGUAUUUAAAGCAGUGUAGCUACGGUCUUCUUCUGUUUUAUCCUUUUUUUAAUAGCAUGUAUGGGUUAUGUUCAGUGUCUGUGUUGUGGAUGUGCUGCAACUGGGCUGAAUUAACUGGAUGAUAGUGCUUUCUUGGGUUUUCAGCCAAGUGGGUCCAGUGAGGCUCAGCUGUCUCCUUGUGCUUACAGGAGUCAGGUAGGCACCUGGAGCUACUUCUCCAUGUUGGCCUCUGUGUCCUGUGUCAUGGUCUAGUCCAUGGCUCUGAUCUCAUCCUCAAGGCUGCAGACAGGGUUCUGAUUUCACCUGCGAAGGAGGGAGCUGGGCCCCAUCCUCCCAGGCACCACCAGCAUCAGUCGUUUGCACGGUGUUCGUGUUGGGAAGCUUUCAUAGGGUCUCUGCAUCAUCGCUCGGCCUCGUGACAGUUUUCCUGUGUUAGAUCUGCUAUGGAGAGUGCAGGUAUGCCCCUUCUGAAAGUGGGAGCACACGCUGUGUAAUGUUUCCAUCUUGGGUCUCCUGGCCUUGUGGACUGAGAUCCUGUCAUUGGAGGCAUGUCCUUUGCUGGUGUUUGGGAAAUCAUUUGUCUCUGUUCUGCACCUUUCCAGGUCAAAAGCUGGAUUGACGGGGCCACAGCCUCCUUCCCUCAUUCCUGGGUCAUCUUCCACAUUCCUUCAAGCCAACCUUUUUAAUCUUGUUUUUGGACUUUAAGAACCACAAAUGGUAGCACCUGUCACUUAGUCAUAGUCAAAAAGUCUUUGAGUCCAGUUCUGGGUGGCAUAUAGCUGCUUAUAAAGAGUUUGAGUGCCCAGGAUCCAGAGCCUCCUCCCUGUGCUUGUCAGAGCUCCACCCACCCCACCCCCCACUUGCCUUCGCUUCCACUUGUCAUCAUCAAUGCCUCUGGCAGAGCUGAGGUGUUGGGUGCCUGGGGCAAGUGAGUGGUCCCUGGUGACCCUGGAUCAGGAGGGUUGGCUUCUAGGGAAGCUAUGGUAACAGUCAUUCAACCUGGAAUGCCAGUUGCAGGCCACAGAAUUCCUUUGUGAACCUCUCUCUAGUCAGUAUUUCAGUCUUGGUCACAGGGUACCAUGGUGGGUGGAGUUGGAAAAUGUGGUUACCAGGGAUUUGGAACUACCCCACCCUUUUACAGUUAGCUGGAUUAGCUGCACCAGACUUCAGUGAGCCAGGUUCCUCCAGAGCCUUCCUGCUGGCUGCUGCUGACCAUCUGCAUUUCCAGUACAGAUGAAGAAGGAGAAAGCUCAUGUGGUGGCUCAGUGGCUCAGACAAACCACCAUGCGUUUCCGAAACCCACCCUGUCCACCUCCUGGCCACAGCUCACCAGGGCCUUCAGGGACCAGAUCAGGCUGGCAGGAAGUUGCAAGAAGAGGCAGCAGACCUGGCAGUGAUUGAGGGUUCCUAUCCAGGUCCUGGGAAACAUUGAUGCCAGGGUUCCCAGCUGACCCUGUAGGAGAACUACAUGAGCUGAAAGCUGGCGUCAAGAUCCUUUCCCGGGUUCGUUAGUGUUUGUUCUUUAAAGAAUGUAGGGAUAUUCAUUAAUAUAUUAAGUUAGAAAUAAUCUGCAAACAUCAGACCUAUGGCUAGAUGUAGUGGGACAUGCAUGCCUGUAAUCCCAGCAGUAGAGCGACUGAGGUAGGAGGACCCUUGAGUUGUAGGCCAGUCAGGCUUUACAUGGUAAGACCCCAACUCAAGCAAACCUGGUGGAAGAAAGGAAAUUCGUUACUGGACCCAUUGUUGGAACAGUGGAAGAAGAGAGGCCACUGGGCAACCUGGGGUGCUGGUCUCAGUACACUAGUCUUGGUGCCCUUUUACCACAACAACCAGGAACCAGGUUCAGAGUUGUAGGCGAUGAGUGAAGAGCUGAUCUGGUAGCACAGCCCUCCUGCAUGUAGCUCUGUGGCCCUUUCCCUCACAUCCUAGUGAGCAGACCCUGGACUGGGACUGGUCGUGCUGAUGGGGCGAGAGCACAGAAGUUGAACCUAGUGUCAUUUGCAAUUUGUAAAGCUAAAUAAAUCAUGUUGAAUUUGAAACCAUCGAUAUGUAGAACAGUUUCAAGGCGAUGAUAAUAGUGAUUGCCAAGGCCAGUGAACUCCCUCUUCUAUCCCUGUAUGCAGACUCCUGCAGGGUUUUACUGUGUUGGUGUAAGGUCUCCUUGAUUUCAUCUGACUUGACCUAAGCAUAACUGGUGAAUCUCAGGAUCAGCCUGAUUAUUCCUGACCAAAUACUAUUAAAUAUAAACACACACACACACACACAGACACACACACACUCCCCAAACUACUAUACUGGUAAGCAGUGUAGAUGGUGCUGUGGUGUAUUGCCAAGGAAGUGCUGGAGUCUGUGCAUGGAAGUUCAUCCAGUGCAGUGGAUAUCCCUUCAGGACCAGAAACUGACCGCUUCUGAGAGACCCUGGGGACCCAUCUCACCAAGACUAGAGUGUAGAUUUCUGUUUGUGCCCAAUGAUGUGGUCUUUCCUUGUCUUCCUUUUGACUGUAUUUUUAAAUUACUUUAGAUAAUUCUGUGCAAUGUUUAUAACCUUUCCUAGUCUUACAAUGUUUGGUUAACACAGCCAGCACCCAAUGGGGAAAUCAGUACUUACUGUGGUUCGCAGGAAACUUUUCCAAAUUGUUGGUUGCUGGGUUUGUUCCUGAGUCAUGAUGCCAGUCUUUUCUCAGAUGAUCAGAUGCCAGGUUUUACUAACAUCGGUGCCCAUUGUCCUGCUGACCCAUGGCUUUUAUUCCAGGUGAACCUUGUGCAAAGGAGCUGCCAUUGUUGCAGCUGGUAGUCUCCAGAGAUGGUGACCCAAUCAUUCAAGCUGUCCCUGGAGGGUCUAGGUGCUGUGGUACGGAGAGCUGGUGGGCCAUGACCAUCUUCCUCUGGCUUUCAAUGCACUUUUUAUUGAGGGAUAGCUGUGAACAAUGUAAAACAUGACUGAUCUCAUUCUCUUCCCAGUGUUUUGAGCUGUGAACCCAUGUGUCCCAGCACUGGCCUAUUCUUUUAUUUUGGUUGAGUUAUCCUCCUAUGGAAAUAGCAAAAGCUACAUCUUUACUAUCCUCACUAGCACGGUAUGUGUUGUCACAUGCUGUGAGUGUGGGCUAUGGUGUGUGUUGGUGUGUGUACAUAUGUGUAUAUGUAUAUAUCACGCAGCAGGCCUGUCAUGCUGCUGUUUGGUGGCAAAGCAACAAGUACAAUAAAAGUCGGCUCCAAAACA